GGUCAUUCACAAACUCAGACAGUUAAGAGCACACCAAACGCUCAGAUUAAACUCUCCAAAACAAUCCAAAGUGUGUGUGUCAAUGAAAAUUUUUCAGCUGUCAGCUUCGUCCACGACUGGCUCAUGUGAACUACAAUGCUGACACUGUUUUACAAUUUUCAAACCUCAAUCAUUGUUUGCAAUAUGGCUUUUGAAACAUAUGGCCCUUAUCUUUCAUCAGCGAGAAAGAAUCCUUCAAAUAAAAAUGCUUACUGUAGCAAUUUUACAUAGAUCCAUACAGCUAUGGGUGCCUCCAUCUGCCAAAAAUACACUUCUGCUACACAUCCCGAGAACAAACAGGUGUUCGGAGUGCGCUAGAUAGCUAAUUAGCACAGGAAAUAGUAUGGGCACUGGAAAAUUACUAGGCGACCGGAGACUCUCCAACAUGGGUACUGGAAAAUUACCAAAGAGAUGGAUUUUUCACCCUCACAUACAAUGACAUUCUAGACGAUUCUCUGCUUCCAACUUUGUGGCAACAGUUUGGGGAAGCCUCUUUUCUGUUUUAGUAUGACACUGCCCCUGUGCACAAAGUGAGGUCCAUACAGAAAUGGUUUUUCGAGACCGGUGUGGGAGAACUUGACUGGCCUGCAUAGAGCCCUGACCUCAAUCCCCAUCGAAAACAUUUGGGAUUAAUUGGAACACAGACUGCGAGCCAGGCCUCAUCACCCAACAUCAGUGCCUGACCUCACUAAUGCUCUUGUGGCUGAAUGGAAGCAAGUCCCCACAGCAAUGUUCCAACAUCUAUUAGAAAGCCUUCCCAGAAAAGCAGAGGCUGUUAUAGCAGCAAAGGGGGGACCAACUCCAUUUUAAUGCCCA
rnacentral:lncRNA from 1 species